rnacentral:lncRNA from 1 species
UCUCUUCUUUCAUUUAUUGAUGAAAUUUUUUAUUAUUGAUUGAUUUUGAGACGGAGUCUCACUCUGGUUGAGGCGAGGCGAGGCGAGGCGCAUCGCUUUGGAAGCCGCAGCGCUGCCUUCUAAAGCCCCAUUCAAAUGCACAAAGCCCUAUUCCCUUCCUGGAGUUGGAGCUGAUGCCUUCCAUUGCCUUGGGCUUCUCUCCAUUCAGAAGAUUUUACAUGCGCAACCCCACCCAGAGGCUGGCUGCGGCUGAGGAUUAGGGGGUGUGGUGGGGCUGGAAACUCGGUCCCCCAUUGUUGCAAGCUCAGCCAAGACAUCCCCCGACCCCCAUCGCUUGCUCACCCUUUGAGAUCCCCUACCUCCACUGCCUUGGAGGCUGAACUCUUACUUUAAUUUCUGUCUUUCUUCCUUUCCUGCGUUUGAGGAGGGGGUGCAGGAAUGAAGGUGUGUGUGGGGAGGGAGUGCGUGGUGGGGACGGAGGGGAGCGUCCUAAGGGUCGAUUUAGUGUCUUGCCUCUUUCACCGCCACCACCGAAGAUGAAAGCAACAAUCAGCUAAAUACCGCAUGUUCUCAUCCCUAAGUGGGAACUUAUAGAUGAGAGUUCUGCAUGGGCAGAACGAGGGGGACGAGAGACGCGGGAGCCUACUUGAGGGAGGAGGGGUGGAAGGACAGACAGCUUCAGGAGAAACCAAAACAAAACAAAACAUGAAAACUGUCGAGUACUGCUCUGAGUGUCUGGGUGAUGAAAUCAUCUGCACACUGAACCCCCGUCAGAAGUUUACCUAUGUAACGAUCUUGCACAUGUAUGUUUGAACAAGAAAUGAAAGUUAGGGGAGAAAGAGAGAGAAAAGGAGAGAAAGAGGGAGAGAGGGAAAGAGAGAGAGAGAGAACUGAAACGAAACACCACCUCCUUGACCUGAGUCAAGGUGUUUCUGGCCUUUCGGGGGAACAUUCAGCAACAAUGCAGUACUUGGGCCUGUUCUUUUUUUUUCUUCUUUUCUUUUUUUUGGACUGAGUCUCUCUCGCUCUUUCACCCAGGCUGCGGUGCAGUGGCGCUCUCUCGGCUCACUGAAACCUCUGCUUCCCGGGUUCCAGUGAUUCUUCUUCGGUAGCUGGGAUUACAGGCGCGCAUGACGAUAGCCGGCUAAUUUUUCUAUUUUUAGUAGAGACGGGGUUUCUCCAUGUUGGCCACGUUGGUAUUGUACUCCUGACCUCAAGUGAUCCACUCUCCUGGGCCUCCAAGUGCUGGGACGACAGGCCUGAGCCGCGGGGAUUUCAGCCUUUAAAAGCGCGGGCCCUGACACUUUUCGCUGCGACCCUUAUGCUCAGAAUGACGUGUCCUGUCUGCCAUAGGUUGACUCGUUGAGUCCCCUAUGCCAUUGCACUCUAGCCUGGGCAGCAAGAACGAAACUCCGUCCCCCCACCUUCCCGUGCAAAUUAAUAAAUAAAUAAAAUCUCUACACAUGACCUAUAAGUGUGUGUUCCCAUGAGUGAUUUCUAAGAAAUGGCACUGUACACUGAAGGCAGUGGCCCACGUCUGUCAUCCCAGCACUUUGGGAGGCCGCGGUGGGUGGGUCACGAGGUCAGGAGUUCAAGACCAGCGUAGCCAACAUGGUGAAACCGACUCAGUUUCGUAUUUUCAAUCUCUACUGAAAAUACAAA